GGAUUAGUGGCGAACGGGUGAGUAACACGUGAGUAACCUGCCCUGGACUCUGGGAUAACCNNNNNNNNNNNNAGCUAAUACCGGAUAGGACCCUUUACCGCAUGGUGGGGGGUGGAAAGUUUUUUCGGUCUGGGAUGGACUCGCGGCCUAUCAGCUUGUUGGUGAGGUAAUGGCUCACCAAGGCGUCGACGGGUAGCCGGCCUGAGAGGGUGACCGGCCACACUGGGACUGAGACACGGCCCAGACUCCUACGGGAGGCAGCAGUGGGGAAUAUUGCACAAUGGGCGCAAGCCUGAUGCAGCAACGCCGCGUGCGGGAUGACGGCCUUCGGGUUGUAAACCGCUUUUAGUAGGGAAGAAGGGGAGCUUGCUCCUUGACGGUACNUGCAGAAAAAGGACCGGCUAACUACGUGCCAGCAGCCGCGGUAAUACGUAGGGUCCGAGCGUUGUCCGGAAUUAUUGGGCGUAAAGAGCUCGUAGGCGGUUUGUCGCGUCUGCUGUGAAAUCCCGAGGCUCAACCUCGGGUCUGCAGUGGGUACGGGCAGACUAGAGUGCGGUAGGGGAGAAUGGAAUUCCUGGUGUAGCGGUGGAAUGCGCAGAUAUCAGGAGGAACACCGAUGGCGAAGGCAGUUCUCUGGGCCGUAACUGACGCUGAGGAGCGAAAGCGUGGGGAGCGAACAGGAUUAGAUACCCUGGUAGUCCACGCCGUAAACGUUGGGCGCUAGAUGUGGGGACCUUUCCACGGUUUCCGUGUCGUAGCUAACGCAUUAAGCGCCCCGCCUGGGGAGUACGGCCGCAAGGCUAAAACUCAAAGGAAUUGACGGGGGCCCGCACAAGCGGCGGAGCAUGCGGAUUAAUUCGAUGCAACGCGAAGAACCUUACCAAGGCUUGACAUAACCGAGAACGCCGCAGAAAUGUGGAACUCUUUGGACACUCGGUUACAGGUGGUGCAUGGUUGUCGUCAGCUCGUGUCGUGAGAUGUUGGGUUAAGUCCCGCAACGAGCGCAACCCUCGUCGCAUGUUGCCAGCACGUAAUGGUGGGAACUCAUGUGAGACUGCCGGGGUCAACUCGGAGGAAGGUGGGGAUGACGUCAAAUCAUCAUGCCCCUUAUGUCUUGGGCUUCACGCAUGCUACAAUGGCCGGUACAAAGGGCUGCGAUGUCGUAAGGCGGAGCGAAUCCCAAAAAGCCGGUCUCAGUUCGGAUUGAGGUCUGCAACUCGACCUCAUGAAGUCGGAGUCGCUAGUAAUCGCAGAUCAGCAACGCUGCGGUGAAUACGUUCCCGGGCCUUGUACACACCGCCCGUCAAGUCAU
rnacentral:rRNA from 1 species